AUAAAGCUAAAACUCAGAGAGGUUAAGGGAUUUUCCUAACAUCUCACAGCUAGUAAGGGGCAGGGCCAGGGCUUUGACUUAAGUUUAGUUGAAUCUGAUAACAAUGCUUUCUCUUCACAGUCCUUCCAUCCUCCACUCCCAACUCUAGACCAGACCACUCCCCCGGAAUCCCACUGUGCCCUCCACAGAUGGUUAGCAUAGCUCAUCCGACAAUGUAAUAUACUGCCUUGCUUUAGAUGUCUGUCAUUCCACUGUGCUAUGAAUUCCCUGAAGGCAGGAGUCCGUUCAUCUCUGGGUCCCCAAUGCCUAGCAUGGUGUCUGACACAAAGCAAGAACACAGGAAAUGUUUGAUGAAUGAAUGAAUAAGUAAAUGAAGCAAAUAUUUGGUAAAGAGCUGCUUUGUCAAAGACCCUUUAUUGUUACUUUACUGGCGAUCUCCGCCCUGUAUGGAAAAUCAUGUCACAUCGUAGAUUUGAAUUUGUUGUUGGCUGUAGACGCCAAAUCAGUUUUCUCAGUAAAACCAUCAAAAAAUAAAAGUAUCAGCAGAAGGAAAUAAAAGAUUCUCUUCAGGAGUAGGGGAUGGAAAAAGAGGCUACAAGUUCAAGGUUGGGAUCUUGAAGAACAGGUACUCAGUCUGCUAGGGUCAAACUCAAAAAGGCUUGCCUCUCUUGCAUUUCAGAGUCCAGAGUGAGCUAUUUCAAUGCAAACUAACUCCAUCUCAGAGUAUAAGGCAGCUGCCCACUGGCUGGCUUAGGGCUGCUUCCAAAUCUAGGCCUCUUCGUCUCUGAGAGAGUAUCAGACAACAGAUCUGGUCCCUGAGCGAUCUCAGAAAUACAACCAUCACUCUGCGGAGCACACUGGAGGAAAGCUAUACUCCUCUGGAAUCAACAGAUGCCAUCUAAGUUUUCAAACACUGAGCUCAGAGGAAGGAGCAGACAGCUCCAGGCUGACUCCAUGGAACUCCAGCAUAAACCACACACACGAGGAUUCACACACACCUGAACCCAGCCACACUGGUUAAGGGUUCUCACCAGAUCCUUAGCGAGGGGCCACUGGGGACUGAGGUCAGUAGGUGUGCAUGUCCUUCGGCCUCUGUCAUCUGUAAGGACCAGGGUAAACUCUGUCAAGUCCUCAUGCCACAGUGUGGUCCCAAUUAUCCUCAACUGAUCUUUGAACAAAAGAGCUAAAAGCUUUUCCAGAUAUGGACUAGAUCGUGUUCAUCAGUUAUUGGAGGGGCCAAAUCAGAUCGGCAGGCCUUUUUGCAGGACGAUUCUUGAAUGUCUUGCAUAUUGAUCAAAACCUUGGGAACAUACAGAGCUUGUUGUUUUUUUUCCAGAGAUCUAAGAGGUCUGGUGUUUCAGGAGCAGGGGGCUUGUGCAGAAACAGUGGGGGAUGGGGCUGCAGAGAGAGACAUACAAAGGUUGAGCCUCCCCAGUCAAGUCAUUCAUUUCCAUGGAAAGGCUACUGUAUAUUUGCCUUGUUUGCUGGCCGAUGUUUGAAAUCCUCCAUUGAAGCUCGGUAUUCUGAUCUCUUUUUAUAAAGAAAAUUUCCUACAUGGGCAUGUAAUGUUACAGAGGGAGCCUCCUUUUCUGCUAUGGAAUGCUAUAAAAGUGCAAAUUUCUAUGAUAGUCUUAGUCACUGACAGGUAGAGAUUGAUUUUAGGGAAGAUGAUGCGCUUUUAGAGCAAAUCGCUAAGAAAGUCUGUGAUUUGAGUGCAGCCAGGGAUGGGAAGAAGGAAUCUGCUGGUUCUUCUUUCUGGGGGAAUACAGAUUUAGUCGUCAUUCUUCUCCGUCCACUCCCCCUCCUCCUGCCCCUCUCCACACACAUGCACACACACUGUGCUGCACACUCAGGCCCAAGCCUGGUGCAGACAUCAUUUCCCCGUGUCCAACCCAGAGGUUUCCCACAGCUGGAGUGGAGAGCACCUGUGUGCUUCUGCUUUGUGUCUGCCGCACUCACUCACAGGCAGGCCUGGUUACCAUCUGCAUAGGUAAGACCCCGGCCUGGCCUCUAAGCACCAGCCCAGCUCCUGCAGGCACAGAGUAAACCCCGACAUAAAGCAGGCAUCCUGCCACACCUGAGAGGGCCUGCUUCGUGUCCCUCCUUCUUUCACACAAAGAAACUUCUUUAUGCCUCCCCCUCUCUCUUGAUAUUCACAUCUCUUUGAUUUCAGUAACCGAGUCAUUCUAGGAGCUGGAGGGAUGAACAGAGGAGGACUCAAAACUAAGUGGCUCUGUCACUGACUCCAUCCAUUCAUUCAUUCAUUCAUUCAUUCAUUCUAGAAGCUGCUGUGUGCCAGGCUCUGUAGAGACAAACCUGCAUGGAACUUCACCACUGCGCUUGACGACCUGAGUCUAGUGAAGGAGACAAACUUAAACUCCUAAUUGUAGCCCAGUGUGACAAGAAAUCUUAGAACAAUUAAAAUCUCCUGAAAUACUCAGCUGUGGAACACACUUUGACAACGAAAUUGAGACACCGACUUUUCCCAGUAUCCAUCAUGAAACAUCCAAUGCUUCCUGCAAACAAGGCCAGUACUUGGAAGCAUAACUACUUGGGCUUAAUAUGGCUCAUUAUCUAGUAGGUAGGUAAACAAUUAUCUGAUAAACACUGAUCAGUCUGGGUUGAAUCUACAGAUUGCAGGGCUUUAAUUUGUUUACUGUAAAUAAAAUUUGUGAGCAAGAAAACCAUGCACCUUGCCUUGGGCAGUUGGGAUUUUAAGAUAUAAAUGACAAAGUUCCUGAUCUCAUAAGACCUAUAAUUUUGUCAAAGAGACAAUUUACAUAGACAAACAUUGCAACAUUCUAGGAAAAGUGGCUUGCGUGGUGUUUGGCAUACAGAUGGCAUUGAAAUAUGUACUAUUUGAAUAAACGAAAUAAGGCAUGCUUGAGAAAAAGACCAAAUGAAAGUACGAAGAUCAAGGGAAGCAUAGAGGAAGGGACUUUCCGCCUGGGAAGCUGGCAAAAGCAUCAUAGAAGUGGUUACAUUGAAACUGGCUACUGCAGGGUAUCUACAAGCUUACUAGGUGGAGAAGCCUAGAGAAGGGCAUUCUGUAGGAUGGAAUAACUUGGAAAAUGUAUGGAGCUGUAUGAAAAAUAAAAACCAUGGCAUGUUCAGGAAGUGAGUAGCAUUGAAUGAUCUGGAAAAGGUCUUCAGAAUUACAUAGGCAGUGUUUUCUGUGUGUGAGGAGAAAUAACAGCCUUGAUAGCACUGCUGUACAUGACUCAGAUUGAUUCAUUUUUGCAAAAAGUGCAGUCUUAAUAUCUCAGACCAACUUCUGAGUGUUUGUGGGUUGGGAGUUGGAAGAGACCAGAGCUGAGAUGGAUGGAUGUAGUCUGAUGCCAUAAGCCCAGUUCUUCUGAGACUUUCACAAGUUGUCAGGCAUCAAAGCUACUUGUUUUUGAGUGAGAACAGCCUCCUGUCUCGGGAGCAUUCUAUUGGCCCACUGUGUUCCAGCAAACAAUGUAAAACCCACACCGUGGGGACCACUCUUCCCUGAACACAUAGGUUUUAGGAAGGUCAGAGUCUGGUAACUACUGUGUUCUCAGAGAUUAAUACCGAUGCUUCCCGGCCUGUGCGAGGCCCAGCGAACUGCCGCAUUCCUUUGAAGGAAAGAGAAGGGACGACAGGGCUGCAGCUCCGCAUCUAACAGAAUUUUCUGGGCGCAAUGCAGUGGAGGAGGAUUUGUUUCAGUGGAAGAGCCUUGUGAAAGGAUCACAGGCCAAACAAACAAACAAAAAUGCUACAGACAUGAAUGCACUUCCUGUCCCUUUUCCCCGAAAGAUGAAGGUUGAUUCUGAGAACACGAAGAUAUUACAACAAAAUUCUUGUCCUAUAAUAGCGAGGGCGAGAAAAAGCAUUUAAAUUGCGUGUGUGUGUAUUGAGGAGGGGUGGUAUCUGGCUACUGUACUUUAACAAUAAUUCCUCUUGACAUUAUACAAGGUCAGCAAGUCACCUCAAGACCACCCAGUCUGAGGAUUUGCUCUCCACACAGGGCUGUAUAGACUCUCUCAGCUGAGAAAUGUCACCCAGCACCUUUCAUAUUUAUGGUGACUCAUAAACAGGAAGCCAGUCCUGUCCAUGACAUUGUAACUUUUUCAUAUCUCAAAUCCUUUUAUGAAAAUGAAAAAAAAAAAAACCCACCAAACCAAACAAAAGAAUUUAGCUGCCUUAUGCUUUCUGGGCCAAAAUAAAUAUUGCCAAAUUAGUAAGGCAUACUGAACAAAUUAAGCGCUAAAUGCAAAUUUAUCGACUGAAAUCCAAUGGCAGAAUCGCCAAAGAGCUCACAGCGGUGGAGUGCAGCCCUGUAAGUAGGUGUUUGUGUUGGCGAGUCUCUGCAGAGAGACAUGGGAACAGUAAUAUAAAAAGAGAGCAUUUCUGUUACACCCAAAAUGAACAGUUUGUUUUAAAAGUUCAAGUAAACAGUGUCUAACAUAUAUUCACUGAAUUCAGAAUCUCAGUUGCUACCAAGAAGGAGAUGAAGAAAAAUAAGCUGGCAAAAUUUCUUUAAAAGAAUCUCAUUUGGAAACGUUCAAGUUGGCCUCGUAAAUCAUCGGAUGAGAUGGAGACAUCGUUCCUCAUCUCUGAGCCCUGAGUAAGCCCCAACAGGGCUUCACCAAGGCAGACAAGACCUUUUCCCUUAAGGAUAUUCAAAACCCUACAAAAUAAGGAGAAUAA